UCGUUCAAAGUGGGAGAUUGUUCCGGAACCAAAUAAAAGGGUGGGAAAUUGUCGUCCCUUGUCUUAUCCCAUAUGCUGUAUCCUGCUGGUCAUCCCAUGAAUGCGGUCAUUUCUUUACAAGAAAUCAUGUGUACGUUUCACUUUGAUGGGUGCAAAUUUUAGAAGUAGGGUUAUGUCAUGCGCUGAGAAAAGUUGAGAAAUCAUGGCUCCCUUCCACA
rnacentral:lncRNA from 1 species